rnacentral:tRNA from 1 species
AGUUAAUGAACUUGWAUAAGUAUAUGUUUUGAAAACAUAAAAAAGAGUUAAAYCCUCUAUUAACUU